AAACACACCGCCAAAGAGGAUUACAUCGGAUAGAUCUCCAUGAAGAUCAUGGAGAACUUUGUAUUGAAGAUCCAAGAGAGAGAAGAAGCCAUCUAGCUACUAACUACGGACCCGUAGGUCUGAAGUGAACUACUCACGAGUCAUUGGAGGGGCGAUGAUGUUGACGCAGAAGCCCUCCAACUCCAAAGUCCCCUCCGGCAGGGCACCGGGAAGGGUCUCCAGAUGAGAUCUCGCGGAAAUGGAAGUUUGCGGCGGCGGAAAAGUAUUUUCGUGGAUCCCUUGAUUUUUUUCUGUAUUGUAGGGAAUAUAUAGGCGAAGGAGCUAGGUCAAGGGGGCGCCAGGGAGGCCACAAGCCUGCUAGCCGCCGCCCCUUCGUGGCGGCUAGGGGGCUUGUGGGCCCGCUGUAGCUCUCCUGGCUUGGCCCUCAAGCCCCCUGAUCUUCUUCCGUUCGGGAAAAAUUUAUUUCGGGGAUUUUUUUCCGUUUGGACUCCGUUCCAAAAUCAGACCUGAAAAGAGCCAAAAACACAGAAAAACCAGGAACUGGCACUUGGCACUAAAUUAAUAAGUUAGUCCCAAAAAAGAUAUAAAAGGUACAUAAAACAUCCAAUGAUGACAAGAUAACAACAUGAAACCAUCAAAAAUUAUAGAUACGUUUGAGACGUAUCAAGCAUCCCCAAGCUUAACUCCUGCUCGUCCUCGAGUAGGGAAGUGAUAAAGAAUGAAUUUUUGAUGCUUUCAUGCUACCUAGCAUAGAUGUCCUUCGUAACUCCUCUUAUGUGACGUGGAUGUUCAGAUCCACUAGAUUCAAAACAAUAGUUUGCUACUGACGUGGAAACAAUAAUAAUUCAAGCAAACUAGCAAGGUAAUCAUGAACUUUCAAAAUAACAAGGCCAAAAGAAAGUUAUCCCUACAAAAGUAUAUAGUGUGGCUAUGCUCUAUCAUCAUCGCACAACGAAUUUAAAUCAUGCACAACCUCGGUAUUGGCCAAGUAGUUGUUUCAUACCUUUACUUUCUCAAACCUUUUCAACUCUCACGCAAUACAUGAGCGUGAGCCAUGGUUUUAGCACUAUAAGUGGUGUGGAGUGUGGUGGAGGUUGCAAGAAAAACAAGGAGAAGAUGGUCACAUUAACUAGGCAUAUCAAUGAGCUGUGGAGAUGCUCAUCAAAGAUAUCAAUGUGAAUGAGUAGGGAUUUCCAUACAAAUGAUGCACUAGAGCUAAGAGUAUGUGAAAGCUCUUAAAGAAAACUAGUUGGUGUGCAUCCAACUUGCUUGCUCACGAAGACCUAAGGCAAUUUUGAGGAAGCCUAUCAUUGGAAUAUACAAGACAAGUUAUAUAAUGAAAAUUUCCCACUAGCUAUAUGGUGGUGACAAAACGAGAGACUCUCAAUCAUGAAGAUCAUGGUGCUUAAUAUGCACAAGUGUGGAAAGGUGGUAGCAUUGUCCCUUCUCUCUUUUUCUCUCAUUUUUUUUAUUUUUUUGGUGGGCUCUUUGGCCUCUUUUUUUUGGUGGGAAUCUUUGGCCUCUUUUAUUUCCUCACAGGGGACAAUGCUCCAUCAAUGAUUAUCAUCACACUUUCAACUCAAAACUUAGAGCAACGAUGACUCUAUAUGGCAUGCCUUCGGUAGUGUACCGUGACAAUGAUCUAGCAUGGCAUAGACAUUAAUGGAAACAUCAUGCUAGCUAUAUUACGAUCAUGCAAUGGCAAUGUAGAAGUGGUGGCACAUGUCAUGGUGGUAGUUGCAUGGCAAUAUAUCUCGGAAUGACUUUGAAAAAGACAUAGUAGGUAGGUAUGGUGGCUGUUUUGAGGGAGGCUAAUGGUGGGUUUUGUGCACCGGCGAAAGUUGCAUGGCACUAAGAAGAUAGUGAUGGUGGAAGGUGAAAGUGCAUCUAAACCAUGGACUCAACAUUAGUCAUGAAGAACUCAUAUAAUUGUUCCAAAAGUUUUAUUAGUAAUCGAAACAAAGCAUUUAACGCAUACUCCUAGGGGAAGGGUUGGUAGGUAUAAACCAUCGCGCGAUCCCGACCGCCACACAAAGGAUGAUAAUCAAAAGACUAAUUAUGCUCAGACUUCAUCACAUAGCGUUUCACCAUACGUGCAUGCUAUGGGAAUCACUAACUUCAACACAAGUAUUUCUAGAUCCACAACACCUUACUAGCAUGAUUUCAAUAUUACCAAAACCACAACUCAAAACUAAUUGAGAUGAAUCAAACUUCUCUAACUAUUCAAUGCACAUGAAGGUGGAAGUUUUCGUAUCCCUUUGGAUAACUACCCCUUUUGAGACUACUUUCAAAGCAUAGAUCAAUUACCAAGCCACACACCACUGUGCUCUAAAAUAUAUAAGAGAAGCACAUAGAGCAAAAGUAUCUAGCUCAAAAGAUAUAAGUGAAGCACAUGUGAGCUGAAUUGUCUACCAAAGGAUAUAAGUGAAGCUCGACAAAAUCACGGUGAGUGCAUGUCUCUCUCUCUCUAGGUGUGCAGCAAGGAUGAUUGUGACACAACAAAAAUAAAAGACUCCUACGAUACAAGAUGCUCCAAGCAAAAACACAUAACAUGUGGUGAAUAAAAAUAUAGCCCUAAGUAACGUUACUGAUGGAUUGAAGACGAGAGAGGGGAUGCCUUCCCGGGGCAUCCCCAAGCUUAGGCUUUUACGGCAUCCUUGAAUAUCUUGGGGUGCCUUGGGCACCCCCAAGCUUGAGCUCUUGCCACUCUUUAUCUCUUUGUCCAUAAGAACUUCACCCAAAACUUGAAAACUUCACAACACGAAACUUAAACAGAAACUCGUGAUAACAUUAGUAUGAGAAAGCAAACCACCACUUCCUUAGGUACUGUAGCAAACUUAAAUUCUACUUAUGCUGAUGUUGUGUUACUGUAUUUUCAAUCUUCCAUGGCUAAUACCCCCCGAUACUAUCCAUAGUUUCAUCAAAAUAAGCAACCAAUACAACAAAAACAGAAUCUGUUAACAGCAGACCAGUCUGUAGCAAUCUGUAUAUUUCUUACUUCUGGUACUUCAAAAAUUCUGAAAAAUUACGACAGUGUGAAGAAUUCGCGUAUCAAUCAGCAUAAAAAAGAAUCAACUCAAAAGAUCUUAUAGAAAAAAAUGAAAAUUCUUUUCGUGAGCAGAAAUUUUCUGUCUUUUCCAGCAUGACCAAACGAUCAUCCCCAAGACUAAUCAUAACGGUUUUACUUGGUACAAACACAAAAAGAAACACAAAAAACACAAUCAUAACAGAAUUAUGAAAGUGUGGAAAACACAAAACAGAAAUAAAAAGGAUAGAUUCGUUGGGUUGCGUCCCAACAAGCGCUAUUGUUUAACGCCCUUAGUUAGGCAUUGAUAAUUCAAUGAUGCUCACACAAAAGACAAGAAUUGAAGCACAACGAGAGCAUCAUAAAGCAUGUGAAAAUCACAUCUAAGUCUAACAUACUUCCUAUGCAUAGGCAUUUUAUAGGAAAACAGAUUGUCAAGACAACCAAUAGUUACCAUAUGCAAGGAAGAAGAAAGAGACAAUAGCAAUCUCAACAUAACGAGAGGUGAUUUAGUGAUAUGAAAGUUUCUACCACCAUAUUUUCCUCUCUCAUAAUAAUUACAUGUGGGAUCAUAUUCGAAUUCAAAAAUGUAACUAUCACAUAGGAUAUUCUUUUCAUGAUCCACAUGCAUGCAAAGUUGACGCUCUUAAAAAAUAGUGGGAUUAUCAUCAACUGAAGUCAUGACUUCUCCAAACCCACUUUCAAUAUUAUUGCAAAUAUCAUAUUCAUCAUGAGGUUUGAACAAAUUUUCAAGAUCAUAAGAAAGAUCAUCACCCCAAUCAUGAUUAUUGCUACAAGUAGUGGACAUAGAAAAACUAGCAUCCCCAAGCUUAGGGUUUUGCAUAUUUUUAGCAUGAUUGUCACUAAUAGAAUUUAUAGUGAAACCAUUGCAAUCAUGCUUUUCAUCCAAUGAGCCCUCGUGAAUCACUUCAUAAAUUUCUUCCUCACAAUUUUUAGAUUCACGCAUCUCAAGUAAAACUCCAUAGAGAAAGUCAAGUGCACUCAACUCACUAGCAAUUGGUUCCACAUAAGUGGAUCUCUUAAAUAGAUUAGCAAGUGGGUGAGGAUCCAUAUCAAAAGAUUUUCAGCAAGUGAAGAUGCAAGCAUAUUGAAGGCACAUAGCACACGAGCAAAGGAAAGGCAAACGAAGAAAAGGGCAAACGAAAAAGGCAAAUGAAAAUGGCCAAUGUGAAGUGGGGGAGAGGAAAAUGAGAGGCAACUGGUAAAAAAGGUAAAUGCAAGAGAUGAGUUUGUGACACCUACUUGGAUAGAUCUCUCCUUCCCCGGCAACGGCGCCAGAAAUACUUCUGCUACUGCAACAAAAGGCCUUCCAACGGCGCCAGAAACGUGCUGACGGGAGACUGUUCUUAUCUUGAUACUCCUUAGCAACGACACCAGGAAUCCUUCUGCUACGGCUACGCCUUAAGGGACUUCCUAGGCAAAUAUGCAAAGGAUUUCCCCCGUGGCCUUGGAGCCUUGCGUUGGUGUUCCCUCGAAGUGGAAAGGGUGAUGUAGCGCAGUGGUGGUAAGUAUUUCCCUCAGUUUGAGAACCAAGGUAUCGAUCCAGUGAAGGAGUAUCACAAGUGCGUGCACAAACACAAAAAGCUUGCUCCCAACGCUAUGAAGGGGUUGUCAAUCCCUUAUAGAUUGUUCGCCAAGUGAGAACUGAAAGCAACAAAGUAACAAAGCAAAGUAAAAGAAAAAGUGGAAACGAUAGGUGUGAAUAGACCCAGGGGCCGUAGUGUUUACUAGUGGCUUCUCUCAUGAAAGCAAGUAGACGGUGGGUGAACAAAUUACUAUCGAGCAAUUGAUAGAACCGCGCAAAGUCGUGACGUCAUCUAUGGCAAUGAUUAUAUCUAUAGGCAUCACGUCCAAAACAAGUAGACCGAUACUUUCUGCAUCUACUACUAUUACUCCACACGUCAACCGCUAUCCAGCAUGCAUAUAGUGUAUUAAGUCCAAAAGAACAGAGUAACGCCUUAAGCAAGAUGACAUGAUGUAGAUGGACAAUCUCAUAUCUACGACAAAGCCCACCUUGUUACCCUUGAUGGAAACUACACGAUGUGUGCCUUGCUGCCCCUACUGUCAUUGGGAAAGGUCACCACACAGUAAGAACCCAAAACCAAGCACUUCUCCCAUUGCAAGAAUCAUAGAUCUAGUUGGCCAAACAAAACCCAAGACUCGGAGAGACUUACAAGGAUAUCAAAUCAUGCAUAUAAGAAAUCAGCAAAGACUCAAAUAUAUAUCAUAGAUAAUCUGAUCAGAAAUCCACAAUUCAUCGGAUCUCGACAAACACACCGCCAAAGAGGAUUACAUCGGAUAGAUAUCCAUGAAGAUCAUGGAGAACUUUGUAUUGAAGAUCCAAGAUAGAGAAGAAGCCAUCGAGCUACUAACUACGGACCCGUAGGUCUGAAGUGAACUACUCACGAGUCAUUGGAGGGCCGAUGAUGUUGAUGUAGAAGCCCUCCAACUCCAAAGUCCCCUCCGGCAGGGCACCGGGAAGGGUCUCGAGAUGAGAUCU
rnacentral:lncRNA from 1 species